AAUACAAAUUCAAAACUCAAAACGCUUUCACUCCAACUUCAAUUUCAUCAUGUUCGGAAACAACACAUGCAGCGGAGACGCUCCAUUUUCUCUCUCAGUCGUGUUCUCUGUCGUCUCAACCUCGCGUCCAUUACAAACCCGACGGCCGAAGAACUCAUACGAGUUCUCUUCUCCGACGAACUCUCGGUCUCAAUAUCUUCUUCUCCUCUUUUCGAUUUCUAAUUCGUUGUUUGUUGGUUUGAUGAUGAUGGUGAUACGGAAUCGGUGAUUUGUGUUGUUGUAUUGUGUGUUUCUGUCCAAGCUUGAUUCGGUGAAAGUGCAAUGAUGAUGAUGGGUUUAGAUCUGUGUAUUUGUUCAUCUCCACGACUGUUUUUAUAAAUCAAAUUAUUUCAUCCCUUUUCUCUGCUAUAUAUUGAAUCAAAUUAAGGCUACAUCAUAUAGGAUUUCAUCUCAGUAGCCAGAAAGGAUUUAGACUUGAUCGGGUUUUACCGCUGACUUUUGAAUCUAACAGGAGGAUGAAGUGAAAGAAAGAGCAAAAAGAGAUGCAGCUGCUAGCAAAUGAAGGGAAUACUCAUGGAAAGGAUUGUGUAUGAAGUGAUGGCUUCUUAUUGUAUUGGAAGAGAAUUUUAAUUGUGACAUGGAUAAGCAGUGACUUGGUUCUGAAAUUGCAUAUGUGCUAUUACUGUUUUGGGUUGUAUAAUUAUGCAGUAUCGAAGAUACACUAUUGAGGAAAUAGAAGAAGCGACAAAAUACUUUUCCAACUCACUGAAGUUGGUGAAGUAUGUUAUGGACCAGUCUAUAGGGCUGAAUUAGUUCUCACUGCAUUUGCAAUAAAAGUGUUGCAACCCUGUGCAGCUCAAGGAUGGUUGCAAUUUCAACCAAGAUUGAAGUUGUGAUAAGCAUAAGGCAUCUAAACAUGGUUCUUCUAUUUGAAGCGUGUCCGGGGUUCGGUUGCUUACCGUAUGAGCACAUGAGUAAUGGAAUGUUGACGUGCUAUCUAGAUUUAGACAUUAGCAUAUAGGGCAAUAUAAAUUCUUUUUCAGGGUUUUCAUGUGUUCCAUAUAAAUAUUUGAAACACUAUAUUUCUAGGUGGAUGCAGAAAGUGUGUACUGAACUUUUAUGUUUGUUGCAUUUUAAUAAUGAUUAAAGCUGAGAAAAUAAUUUAGCAGCAAAGUUGAGUCAACAAUUGCAGCAAUGCGAGGGCUUUCGGCUACUACAGCUAGCAAUCAACCACAACUUACUACUUUGUUUUAACUGGCUGCUCAUGAAGCUAAAAAAUCAAGUACUCAGGGUUGCAUUUAACAGUGAUUUUAUUCUACUGCAGAUCGAUAGGGUGCCCACAACAUCAGUGGCCCGUGAACCAGAGGCUUUUCACUAUGGAUAUCAUGUACUAUAGGUAAUGUUGUAGAUAUUGGAAACACAUUGGGCUAGAUGCAUUGGAUUUAUCAAAGCCAUUGAACUGCCACUUUUGCCGCCGCUGAAAAAGUCAGUUGAACGGAAAGUAGUGCUUGGAAACAAUUGGACCUGGUUGUUGCAACUGGUGGUGAUGGAACUCUUCCGCUGGCCCGCCAUUUAAUGGAUGGCAAAAUUCCUGUCCUUUGAUUGAACUCAGAUCCUACUUGGAUUGAUGAGGUUUAUCAUAUACAUGUAGUAUUUGUUUAAAUAUUGAUAUAUUGGCUUCUGAAUUUAGACAUUUUGUUUGAAUUAAUGAAUUUAUAUCUUAUUUGUAAUAGGUGGAAAAAUUAAGUGGUGAGUUUUGAUGCUUCUAGAAGUACCGGUCAUCUUUCUGCUGCAACUAUUGAAAACUUCGAACCAAUAUUCUUUCAGUUUUGAUUCCAUGGAGUAGCUAAAACUAUUUAUGUUUUAUGAUGCUCUAGUUCUUUCGUUUAUGUACAACUUAAUGAAUUAAUAUCUUUACUAUUAUAGAUUAUAUUCUUUGGAAUAAGAUUAUGAAAUUUUAUAUUUGCAUCAUUCUUUUUUGCCAUUGAUUUGUGCCAUUGAUUUGUGCUUUGGUUUGGGGAUUAAUAGUAGUUACCUUUUUUUGUUGUUUAAUGUGGAGACACCACCUCUCAUUUUAUUAAUUUCAGAGACACUGCCCUUGAAAGUGUCAAGCAGCUGAUAAUGAGUUUAGAAAUAAAGCUUGACUCACUUACUACUUAGCACCAUAAAGAGAAAGAGAAAUAGAGACUAUGCCUUUAAAAUGUAGAAGAAACAUGGAGAAUCAGAUACAAGACAAUGAAGAUAUGCAAAAGAAUUUGCAAGAUCUUAAACAGAGAUGUAGAAUAUUGAAGACAUUGAUUGAAGAAGAACCAUAAAAAUAUCAUACUCACUUCAUCAAUAUAUCAAGAAAGGGAUAGAAGCUGACGGAAAUCACAGAAUUGAGGAACCUUACAAGAAGGUUCAUGCUGCUAUUCGUGCAGAAUGAAAAAGUAUGGGAAGCAGCCACAAAGGAACACAAGAGAUAUAUGAUUUUGAUGUUUGUUACUAAUCUAUUGAUGAUAUGAAAAUUCAUUUGAAUUAGUGGCAGCAUAUGUGCCAU